ensembl:lncRNA
GAAUGUGAAGCUUUUCCAAAGACAGUUCUGAAGGGAGAGAAGCCCAGGAAAGAGUACACAGGAAAUGGUGAAAACUUGCCUCUCAGUUCUCAGGGGCUAGAGUGUUAAUGCAAGUUCAAGUUCACCUGCCCAAAGCACAGUAAGGCCAAACAAAUUGAAACGUCAGAGCUUGGAGCAGAGAAAUGUUUGUUGUGGAGAUAUGCAAGAUAGCUCAAGCCCUUUAAAGCCUCAAGCUCCCCGAACAGUUUUGACAAAGCAUUUUAAAUGGCUGGGUUCAGCCUCCAUCUUCAGAGAUGUGUGACCCUUGCAUCCCUGCUGUGCGUGCCCACAGCUUCCAGUCCCCUGGAGAUAUGGCAGUGCUUAGCAAACUCCCAAGGCUGUCUCACAUCCUGCAAAUCCCUGCUGAAUCCUUGACUGGUCCACCCAAAUAUGGCUCGCCCCAAAUAUCAAGUUGCUGGCCCUGCCCACUGGCUUGCCGCAGAGUUGUGGCUGUAACUGACAGUCACAUGAACACCUUUCUCCAGGGACAAGUAAGCU